AGAAAUCAUCAUGCCUCCAGCAGCCUUAGGACAGAUAUUGUAUGAAGCCAUUGAAUUAAUUCUCAGUGGAACACACAUUCCAGUUAAAGAACGAACUCAGCUACAGAUAGUAGCAUACAAAAAGAUCAGCCUAUAUAAACUGGAAUUGAAGACCCGGAAUCUGGGAAGCAGGAAAAGAGGAUUGUUUCAAAAAGCAAAAGAGUUGCCAAAAAGAGUGAAAGAAAAAACAUUAUCAGAAGUUUCAGCAAGGAAACAAAAGCUGCUGGCUCAAAACAGUUGUAUGAUAUCAUUUCAAAGUACUUUCAUGGCACAAAGAGAUCGCAAAUUCUUGACUGGCUAAAGGAAAGUAAAACUAUGACAAAGCUCCGGCCAAAAUUUUCCAAUAAAGCACCAUUGAAACCAGUGUAUUCUGUUGCUCCCAUGGAGGGACACCAGAUAGACAUUGUGGACCUGUCUGCAGUAGCAGAAGAAAAAGAUGGGAAAACGUACAAAUAUGUGUUGUCUAUUUUGGAUAACUUUUCCAGAUUUCUGUGACUUGUCCCAAUAACGGAUGAGUCUUCAGAAACAGCGGCAAAAUCAUUGACUGAUUUAUUUAGACAAUCAGUGGGGCACCCCUAAAAUUAUCCAAACAGAUCAAGGGGGUGAAUUCAAAGGCAUGGUGACCCUCUGUGGCAGACUUGGCGUGCGACUCAUCCAUUCGAGGGCCUAUCAUCCCCAAUCCUAAGGAAAAGUAUGUUUAGUCAGAUGUAAGUGUUAAAAAAAACCCAACAUUCUGAUGGCUGGCAAGAGAGGCUAUACUGCAAGACACAACUUAGGAGGUGGUGACAGCAUGUUUCUUGCACUCAGCAGAUAUAUCAUCAGAGGAUUUAGAGGUCAAUGCACUUGAAGUUAGGCACACGGUGGUUGACCAUCUGCAGGAAACUCCCCGAACGAUUGAUGGAACACAUAUGAAGAACUUGGUUCCGGAAAAAAAGUCAUGGAACAAGUAUGUGGACAAGAUGCUAAAGAAAGGGACAUGGGGAGAUAAUCUCAUGCUCCUGAUGGGAGCGGCAGACGUCCCAGAUGUAACAAUUACAGUUAUCAGCACAUGGUCAGAAGAGCCUAUAGUCAUGAAACCCAGGGAGACAAAGGCCGGGCUCGGAACACUAUGUGUAGGUCAUCUGUCAGGGUUUCACUACGUCAGCUUGGAAAAAAUAGCUACAUUAGCGCUGACAAUUCUUGUAAGCAGUGAGUUCAAUCAAUAAAGAGUUAACUGCUAUCAUCAUCUAUAUUUUCCUUUGCUUAUAGUUGUAUCAUGUAGAUAGAUCACACAUCUCUGCCCUGGAAUCAAUAUCUGUAUCUUAGACUAGUUUAAACUAUUCCAUAUAAUCUGGGUCCUCAGUGUGUCCCGUCAUAUAAUUUUAAAACCUAAUGUAGAUACUGGGUUCGUGGGUUAAAGCAGUGUGAAGAUGAACAUGAUAAAUAAUAUUAGUAGUAGAUUUAACAUAAAAUGAUUUAUUCCAGUUUCUCCCAAUUCGAGAUCAAGCACCCACAGCAUUGCUUUAAUGUAAGUCAGCAAAAUAAUAAAUAUGUGGUGGUGUUUCAUAUUUUAUCGUUCAAAUAAUCUUUCUAUUCUUCAGGCCAGAAGUGCAGAACUUGCCACCAAACCCUAAGUGUCUGCAAAUGUGCUUUGGAAAGAGAUACGCCAACCACUUCUACUGGCCAAAGAAACUUGUAGGUAAGUGUUGGUAUAAUCAUGGAUCAAAUAAUUGCAGUUAUACCCAAACCAACAAAAGUUGCUGGGUCGUCACACUUUGAAAUUGAUCAACAAAUAUGGGAAUAUGCAAUGAACUGUGUGGACACAAGCAGUUGAGAACUGCACUAAAUGUUUGUACCUGCACUCAUCAUCAGUGCUUUUAUUGUUAAUGUGUGUUCACAUAUUUUUCAUGUUUCAAAGAAUUGACAGUUGUCAAAUGUAAUGGUUCUGGUUUUCAUUGAUAUUGUGAUGUUCAUUGUAUUCAAUAUAACAACAUUUUAAAUUAUUUUAAAGAGAGCACUAUGAAAAUAAUAAGGAGUAUAGCUGACAAACACAAGUACAGUCAUACAUGUAAUGGUUAUACAGUGAGGGUUCUUAUUUUCAUGGAGAGGUGAAAUCCUUCAGAGAGCAUUUUAGUAUGGCAUAUUACGGAGAAUUCAGUGCUUUUUACACGAGUGUCCAUCGGAUGGACUCCAUCCUGUAACAUAUUUCAUUUCACACUGGACGAAUAGCUUCACUUUAUACUCUCUUGUUACUGUUGGCCUAAUUGUUCAUCACAGUGUUUCAGUUUUACAAAUUGUGAAAUGCUGAAGGACAUAAACUAAGAACUUUUGAAAUUUUGUCUGUUCUUUAAUAAAAUUGUCUAUCCCAUAACAGCUCCCAUGUUUGAAAUGCUAUGUCAGUUUUUCACAUUCAGUUUCAUGUUUAUUUUAAGAGAUGACGAAUAUAUGUAUGUUUUUCUUUUUAGAACAGUAACUGGAAAAGACUGUUUACAUUAGUAUCUGAGGAGAGAUCAUAACUAUUUUAUCAAAGUGUCCUUCUUGUAACACAGAUGUCUUUCCCGUAACACAGCAAUAUUUGAGCUCAAAUUGACAAACUGACUGAAACAAGCAUUCAAAAGGAUGAAGCUUUUAAGGUUAUGAUUCCACUUUAACAAUUAACUGAUUCAGAUGAAUGUAUUGUUGGCUCAUCUGGUAACCAUUAAGAUUUAUGUGUUACACAUCCUAACCAAUAUAUGUAAAAUGAUAUGACAAGUUGAUUUGUUUCACAUAUUUGAACUAUUCUUAUUUUUAUCUAAAACUGAACAUCAUUACUUUAAGAGAUUCUGAGAGUUAUUAUUCUUAUCAAACAACCUUGUUUAACUGAAUCUUGACCAAUUUUAAAACUGUUACAGGAAAGACAUUUGCCACCUCUGCUACAGGAUAAAAUAUUUAAAAAAUAUUGUGCCAAAGGGUUGUAAGAUUGCAAUUUGUUAUUUUCACACUUUACAGUUGCUGUUAAAAGCAAAUAUGAAAAUAAACUUUUCAUUUUGAGAGACUGGAUUUUAUCUUUUUUCAAUCUUCAAAUUCUGUCAUUUUUUUAUAAUGACUCAUAUAUUUCAGAUUGAUGGAACACAUAUGAAGAACUUGGUUCCGGAAAAAAAGUCAUGGAACAAGUAUGUGGACAAGAUGCUAAAGAAAGGGACAUGGGGAGAUAAUCUCAUGCUGCUGAUGGGAGCGGCAGACGUCCCAGAAGUAACAAUUACAGUUAUCAGCACAUGGUCAGAAGAGCCUAUAGUCAUGAAACCCAGGGAGACAAAGGCCGGCCUCGGAACACUAUGUGUACUUAUUUUGUAUAAAAGCACUUUUUGUAAUUUAUUUUGGAUGAUUCAUAUUUUCAUCAUAAAAUACACUUAAUAAUCAUAUAGUUUUUGCAAAUUUGUCUUCAGAAUAAGUUUUAGCAAUUCUUAAAACAAGUCCCUAAAAACAAUGUCAUUACUGCAACAGAGAAUCAUUUACAAAAAUAUGGUCUAAGGGAGGCAACUUUCCUAGUGUGGUCACAUGACCCUAAGUUUGCAGUGGAGGGAAGCAUGGAUGGCAUGGAUGGCAUGGAUGCCAUGUAUGCAUCCCUUCACAUCAUCAGCCUAUUUUCUUGAUAUUCUUCUAAAAGUGCAGCAUUUUGAGUGAGUAUGUUUAUCUAUCGUCAUUACCAUAUACUUAAGAUACCUUAUACUGUUGUACCUGUUAGUUCCAUAAUUCACUUAAACUUUAAAUGAGGUUGAUAUGCAACAAUUUCUGAGCAAUGUAGACUGCUUAAAAUGUAUGGAGAGUUGUUUUAGCCAUAAUUGUAAAAAAAUGUCAUAACCACAACAGUCAUUACCAAAACAGCAAGGUAGGUUUUGGUAAUGACAAAGCAUUUUGGUAAUGACUUCUUGAGAUUGAAAUUGAUAAACAAUUAACAAUACUUAUUGAGAGCAGUUCAUCGUUUAAAUUAUUACAGAUCUAAAAGAAUGCAAUAUCAAUUCAAACUUAUAUUAUCUGAAAAUUAUUGAGACUAUUACAAGAAUAACUGAGAAUGUAAUGGAAUGUAUGAAAAACAAUGUUAUUAUUUAACAAAAUAUUAUUCAACAAUUACAUGCAAGUAUAUCUUUUUCAGAAUGAGUGUGGAAAAUGAGUUUAAGAAGAUAUAUAGAAAAAUUAGAUAAGUCUCUUGAAUCAACUGAAAAAGAAUUUUAUGACUUGCUAAGUGAAGUGUAUUCUCGAUCGGAUCCUUACUUCAGAACUUGGGCUAAGCAAGUUGUUGACUUAUAUGAAGCUAUUCUCUACCUGAGAGAAAACAUCAAACGUUACACCAAGCUAUUAAAAGAAGACCAUGGGGUUAACUAAUAAGGAAAGAAGUAGACGAUUUAUGACAAAGCUAAAAGAAAAUCCAGAGAAACAAAGAAUAUCUUGAAAAGGAAAGAGAAAGAUACCAAAAAAGGAAAGAAAGAAAACAACUCUGAGGAAUUGAAGUUCUCUUUCAGAUUAAA